rnacentral:rRNA from 1 species
CCUACGGGGGGCAGCAGUGAGGAAUAUUGGUCAAUGGGCGGGAGCCUGAACCAGCCAAGUCGCGUGAGGGACGACGGUCCUAUGGAUUGUAAACCUCUUUUGUCGGGGAACAAAGGCGCCCACGGGUGGGCGGAUGAGUGUACCCGAAGAAAAAGCAUCGGCUAACUCCGCGCCAGCAGCCGCGGUAAUACGGAGGAUGCGAGCGUUAUCCGGAUUUAUUGGGUUUAAAGGGUGCGUAGGCGGGCUUUUAAGUCAGCGGUAAAAAUUCGGGGCUCAACCCCGUCCGGUCGUUGAAACUGGGGGCC